UUGGUGAUACAGAUUGAAUCUACUACGGGAA
rnacentral:piRNA from 1 species